rnacentral:rRNA from 1 species
AGCAUCGGCUAACUCCGUGCCAGCAGCCGCGGUAAUACGGGGGAUGCGAGCGUUAUCCGGAUUUAUUGGGUUUAAAGGGCGCGUAGGCGGGACGUCAAGUCAGCGGUAAAAGACUGCAGCUAAACUGUAGCACGCCGUUGAAACUGUCGACCUGGAGACGAGACGAGGGAGGCGGAACAAGUGAAGUAGCGGUGAAAUGCAUAGAUAUCACUUGGAACCCCGAUAGCGAAGGCAGCUUCCCAGGCUCGAUCUGACGCUGAUGCGCGAGAGCGUGGGUAGCGAACAGGAUUAGAUACCCUGGUAGUCCACGCCGUAAACGAUGCUCACUGGAUCUUGGCGAUACACGGCCAGGGUUCAAGCGAAAGUAUUAAGUGAGCCACCUGGGGAGUACGUCGGCAACGAUGAAACUCAAAGGAAUUGACGGGGGCCCGCACAAGCGGAGGAACAUGUGGUUUAAUUCGAUGAUACGCGAGGAACCUUACCCGGGUUUAAAUGCAGGUUGCAUGAGGUGGAAACACCUCUUUCCCUCGGGACUACCUGCAAGGUGCUGCAUGGUUGUCGUCAGCUCGUGCCGUGAGGUGUCGGGUUAAGUCCCAUAACGAGCGCAACCCCUAUCGCCAGUUGCCAUCGGUUCAAGCCGGGCACUCUGUCGAGACUGCCACCGUAAGGUGCGAGGAAGGCGGGGAUGACGUCAAAUCAGCACGGCCCUUACACCCGGGGCGACACACGUGUUACAAUGGCCGGUACAGAGGGCAGCCACGGGGCGACCCGGAGCGAAUCUCUAAAGCCGGUCGUAGUUCGGACUGGAGUCUGCAACCCGACUCCACGAAGUUGGAUUCGCUAGUAAUCGCGCAUCAGCCAUGGCGCGGUGAAUACGUUCCCGGGCCUUGUACACACCGCCCGUCAAGCCAUGGAAGCCGGGAGUACCUGAAGAUCGUGACCGCGAGGAACGGGCUAGGGUAAUACCGGUAACUGGGGCUAAGUCGUAACAAGGUAGCCGUACCGGAAGGUGCGGCUG